GACGAACGCUGGCGGCGUGCUUAACACAUGCAAGUCGAACGGAGGAUUUAUUUCGGUAAAUCCUUAGUGGCGAACGGGUGAGUAACGCGUGGGCAAUCUGCCCUUCAGAUGGGGACAACAUCCCGAAAGGGGUGCUAAUACCGAAUACGAUCACGCUGCCGCAUGGCGGUGUGAUGAAAGAUGGCCUGUAUUUAUAAGCUAUCGCUGAAGGAUGAGCCUGCGUCUGAUUAGCUAGUUGGUGGGGUAACGGCCUACCAAGGCGAUGAUCAGUAGCCGGUCUGAGAGGAUAAACGGCCACAUUGGGACUGAGACACGGCCCAAACUCCUACGGGAGGCAGCAGUGGGGAAUAUUCCGCAAUGGACGAAAGUCUGACGGAGCAACGCCGCGUGAGUGAUGAAGGUUUUCGGACUGUAAAGCUCUGUUGUUUAGGACGAAAGUGCCUGUUGCAAAUAGUUACAGGUAUUGACGGUACUGAACGAGGAAGCCACGGCUAACUACGUGCCAGCCGCCGCCGUAA
rnacentral:rRNA from 1 species